GGCCCGUGGCCCGGUCAUCGAUAGUGCAGGGAGAGGAGCGCCGAGAGCUUUCCCGUGUUUGGGGGCGGCCGUCCCCUCCCUCCCAAACCCUGUUGCUGUCGGACA
rnacentral:snoRNA from 1 species